UACGUAGGGUGCGAGCGUUGUCCGGAAUUAUUGGGCGUAAAGAGCUCGUAGGCGGUCUGUCGCGUCGAAUGUGAAAGCCCGGGGCUUAACUCCGGGUCUGCAUUCGAUACGGGCAGGCUAGAGUUCGGUAGGGGGAGAUCGGAAUUCCUGGUGUAGCGGUGAAAUGCGCAGAUAUCAGGAGGAACACCGGUGGCGAAGGCGGAUCUCUGGGCCGAUACUGACGCUGGAGGAGCGAAAGCGUGGGGAGCGAACAGG
rnacentral:rRNA from 1 species